ACAAACUGAAAAUGACCCCAGGUUUGUCUGUGAUCUGGGGUCAGAUAACUGUGCCUAUAGUACGGUGGUACGUAAAGCUUAUUGCGUGUCUUUUGGUGGCUGCGUGAUAAAACCCAUGUGCCAACAUAC
ensembl:snoRNA small nucleolar RNA ACA64